rnacentral:misc_RNA from 1 species
AACCUAGCACACCUGCGGUGUGUACCUGCGGAAGGAUCAUUAACGAGUUACCACUCUAUAACCCUUUGUGAACAUACCUACAUGUUGCUUCGGCGGUCGGCCCCCCCGGGCCCCCGGCCCCGCUCACGCGGGGCGUCCGCCGGAGGGUAACCAAACUCUGAUUUAACGACGUUUCUUCUGAGUGGCACAAGCAAAUAAUCAAAACUUUUAACAACGGAUCU